rnacentral:tmRNA from 1 species
GGGGGCGACUGGUUUCGACGCGAUAGCUCUGAGAGAGGAAGCAGGCCGUGGUCUCCUCGCCACGUUAAACAGGGGUACCGUCAAAUUGAAUUGACAAGAAUUCUUCUUUUGAGCCCCAGUUGGCUCUCGCUGCUUAAUUUAUAGCGGCGCGUCAAAUCGGAGUUUUCCCCGGCUCCGUGGAGACGUCAUUUCAGGGGAAUGCUCUUGCGCACGUAAUCGGUAUGGUGCAGGCUAAGAACGAACCGGUUAGAUCGUAGUGAGCGUGUCGUUGCGCGCGCGACGAUCGAGAUGAAUACAACGACUGAGCCUGGAGAUGCCAAUCAGGGGGCUUUCGCGGACCGGAGUUCGAUUCUCCGCGCCUCCACCA